CACUGAUGAACCUCUUUGCAGAGAACUCAGCUGUAACAAAUGAAACAGUUGCUUCAAAAAUAAAUAAAGCAGCAGAAGAUUCAAAGUAUAUCACUGCAUACAGAGCUGCAACCUAUUGUGCUGUUUUUCAAUGCGAUCUCAGAACCACAGUCUGUGAGGAAGCUAUGUAUCCAGAAUGCACGUGCAAAAGUAAUUACUCAAAGACAGCUUGGGAUGACCGUUCUUGUUCAGAUUGCAACAGUGAAUGUUCUGUAACCAGCAACAAGUACUG
rnacentral:lncRNA from 1 species